rnacentral:ncRNA from 1 species
AUAAAAAUAAUGAUUAGGAAAAGUAAUUGAUCCAACCUUCACAGAGAGUUCUUGAUAGUGGAAAAAGAACAUGGUGAUUGAUGAACCCACACCUAGGAAUUGCAGGGCUGAACUAAGUAGGCUUUGCCGAUCGGUUUCGUUAUCCGAGUUGACUCAGCCAACGUGAGGUUUAAUCCGCAAGGGUUAGACGAAAUGAGGUGGAACCGCGCAAAUUACGUCCUCUUA